UACAGAGGGGGCAAGCGUUGUUCGGAAUUACUGGGCGUAAAGGGCGCGUAGGCGGCCUGUUAAGUCGAACGUGAAAUCCCCGGGCUCAACCCGGGAACUGCGUCCGAUACUGGCAGGCUUGAAUCCGGGAGAGGGAUGCGGAAUUCCAGGUGUAGCGGUGAAAUGCGUAGAUAUCUGGAGGAACACCGGUGGCGAAGGCGAGUUUCUGGACGGUAACUGACGCUGAGGCACGAAGGCCAGGGGAGCAAACGGG
rnacentral:rRNA from 1 species